UACGAACCGUGCGAACGUUGUUCGGAAUCACUGGGCAUAAAGGGCGCGUAGGCGGCUUAUCAAGUCAGGGGUGAAAUCCGGCAGCUCAACUGUCGAAGUGCCUUUGAUACUGAUGAGCUCGAGGGAGGUAGGGGUCUGUGGAACUUCCGGUGGAGCGGUGAAAUGCGUUGAUAUCGGAAGGAACGCCGGUGGCGAAAGCGACGGACUGGACCUCUUCUGACGCUGAGGCGCGAAAGCCAGGGGAGCAAACGGG
rnacentral:rRNA from 1 species